rnacentral:rRNA from 1 species
GUUCAAAGCAGGCAGAUCCAAUUUUCUGCCACCGAAUACAUUAGCAUGGGAUAAUGGAAUAGGACCCUGUCCUCCUAUUUUCAGUUGGUUUUGGCAGCGCGAGGACUAGGGUAAUGAUUAAUAGGGAUAGUUGGGGGCAUUAAUAUUUAAUUGUCAGAGGUGAAAUUCUUGGAUUUAUGAAAGAUUAACUUCUGCGAAAGCAUCUGCCAAGGAUGUUUUCAUUAAUCAAGAACGAAAGUUAGGGGAUCGAAGACGAUCAGAUACCGUCGUAGUCUUAACCAUAAACGAUGCCGACCAGCGAUUAGGAGACGUUGAAUACAAAACACCACCAUCGGUUGCGGUCGUCCUUGGCGUCUCGGUUUCGGCCGGGGCGCGGGGAUGGCUUAGCCC